rnacentral:rRNA from 1 species
GGUAACCUGCCCAUCAGAAGGGGAUAACACUUGGAAACAGGUGCUAAUACCGUAUAACAAUCGAAACCGCAUGGUUUUGAUUUGAAAGGCGCUUUCGGGUGUCGCUGAUGGAUGGACCCGCGGUGCAUUAGCUAGUUGGUGAGGUAACGGCUCACCAAGGCCACGAUGCAUAGCCGACCUGAGAGGGUGAUCGGCCACAUUGGGACUGAGACACGGCCCAAACUCCUACGGGAGGCAGCAGUAGGGAAUCUUCGGCAAUGGACGAAAGUCUGACCGAGCAACGCCGCGUGAGUGAAGAAGGUUUUCGGAUCGUAAAACUCUGUUGUUAGAGAAGAACAAGGAUGAGAGUAACUGUUCAUCCCUUGACGGUAUCUAACCAGAAAGCCACGGCUAACUACGUGCCAGCAGCCGCGGUAAUACGUAGGUGGCAAGCGUUGUCCGGAUUUAUUGGGCGUAAAGCGAGCGCAGGCGGUUUCUUAAGUCUGAUGUGAAAGCCCCCGGCUCAACCGGGGAGGGUCAUUGGAAACUGGGAGACUUGAGUGCAGAAGAGGAGAGUGGAAUUCCAUGUGUAGCGGUGAAAUGCGUAGAUAUAUGGAGGAACACCAGUGGCGAAGGCGGCUCUCUGGUCUGUAACUGACGCUGAGGCUCGAAAGCGUGGGGAGCAAACAGGAUUAGAUACCCUGGUAGUCCACGCCGUAAACGAUGAGUGCUAAGUGUUGGAGGGUUUCCGCCCUUCAGUGCUGCAGCUAACGCAUUAAGCACUCCGCCUGGGGAGUACGACCGCAAGGUUGAAACUCAAAGGAAUUGACGGGGGCCCGCACAAGCGGUGGAGCAUGUGGUUUAAUUCGAAGCAACGCGAAGAACCUUACCAGGUCUUGACAUCCUUUGACCACUCUAGAGAUAGAGCUUCCCCUUCGGGGGCAAAGUGACAGGUGGGUGCAUGGUUUGUCGUCAGCUCCGUGUCGUGAGAUGUUGGGUUAAGUCCCGCAACGAGCGCAACCCUUAUUGUUAGUUGCC